rnacentral:rRNA from 1 species
UACGGAGGAUCCGAGCGCUAUCCGGAUUUAUUGGGUUUAAAGGGAGCGUAGGUGGAUUGUUAAGUCAGUUGUGAAAGUUUGCGGCUCAACCGUAAAAUUGCAGUUGAAACUGGCAGUCUUGAGUACAGUAGAGGUGGGCGGAAUUCGUGGUGUAGCGGUGAAAUGCUUAGAUACCACGAAGAACUCCGAUUGCGAAGGCAGCUCACUAGACUGCAACUGACACUGAUGCUCGAAAGUGUGGGUAUCAAACAGG